UGGAAGCAACACAGUCAUUUGAAAGAAGUUUUUCUUCAUUUUAAAUGAAUUUCAGAAAAUGCUGGAAUCUUGUGUAUUCUACGAGUAUCCAUGAAAUUUACAGCAGAGCAACUUGUUGAUGUGCAAAUACGUUGCCUAUAUCCUAGAAGCCUGGAAGAAGAAAAUUAGCAUUCUAUAAAUAAACAAAUACCCAAUAAACCUGAAUGUUAA